CAAGUCGAACGGCAGCACGAGAGCUUGCUCUUGGUGGCGAGUGGCGAACGGGUGAGUAAUAUAUCGGAACGUAUCCAAUAAUGGGGGAUAACUAAUCGAAAGGUUAGCUAAUACCGCAUACGCCCUACGGGGGAAAGCAGGGGAUCUUCGGACCUUGCGUUAAUGGAGCGGCUGAUAUCUGAUUAGCUAGUAGGUGAGGUAAAGGCUCACCAAGGCGACGAUCAGUAGCUGGUUUGAGAGAACGACCAGCCACACUGGAACUGAGACACGGUCCAGACUCCUACGGGAGGCAGCAGUGGGGAAUUUUGGACAAUGGGGGCAACCCUGAUCCAGCCAUUCCGCGUGAGUGAAGAAGGCCUUCGGGUUGUAAAGCUCUUUCGCAAGGGAAGAAAACUUAUGAUCGAAUAAAUCAUGAGGUUGACGGUACCUUGAUAAGAAGCACCGGCUAACUACGUGCCAGCAGCCGCGGUAAUACGUAGGGUGCGAGCGUUAAUCGGAAUUACUGGGCGUAAGGCGUGCGCAGGCGGUUUUGUAAGUCGGAUGUGAAAUCCCCGGGCUCAACCUGGGAACUGCGUUCGAAACUGCAAGGCUAGAGUGUGUCAGAGGGGGGUAGAAUUCCACGUGUAGCAGUGAAAUGCGUAGAGAUGUGGAGGAAUACCAAUGGCGAAGGCAGCCCCCUGGGAUAACACUGACGCUCAUGCACGAAAGCGUGGGGAGCAAACAGGAUUAGAUACCCUGGUAGUCCACGCCCUAAACGAUGUCAACUAGUUGUUGGUAGAGUAAAAUCUAUGAGUAACGUAGCUAACGCGUGAAGUUGACCGCCUGGGGAGUACGGUCGCAAGAUUAAAACUCAAAGGAAUUGACGG
rnacentral:rRNA from 1 species